GACGAACGCUGGCGGCGUGCUUAACACAUGCAAGUCGAACGGAAAGGCCCUGCUUUUGUGGGGUGCUCGAGUGGCGCACGGGUGAGUAACACGUGAGUAUCCUGCCCUUGACUUUGGGAUAACUUCAGGAAACUGGGGCUAAUACCGGAUAGGAGCUCCUGCUGCACGGUGGGGGUUGGAAAGUUUCGGCGGUUGGGGAUGGACUCGCGGCUUAUCAGCUUGUUGGUGGGGUAGUGGCUUACCAAGGCUUUGACGGGUAGCCGGCCUGAGAGGGUGACCGGCCACAUUGGGACUGAGAUACGGCCCAGACUCCUACGGGAGGCAGCAGUGGGGAAUAUUGCACAAUGGGCGGAAGCCUGAUGCAGCAACGCCGCGUGCGGGAUGACGGCCUUCGGGUUGUAAACCGCUUUCGCCUGUGACGAAGCGUGAGUGACGGUAAUGGGUAAAGAAGCACCGGCUAACUACGUG
rnacentral:rRNA from 1 species